CGUAGGGUGCGAGCGUUAAUCGGAAUUACUGGGCGUAAAGCGUGCGCAGGCGGUUUGUUAAGAUAGGCGUGAAAUCCCCGGGCUCAACCUGGGAACUGCGCUUAUGACUGGCAAGCUAGAGUACGGCAGAGGGGGGUGGAAUUCCACGUGUAGCAGUGAAAUGCGUAGAGAUGUGGAGGAACACCAAUGGCGAAGGCAGCCCCCUGGGUCGAUACUGACGCUCAUGCACGAAAGCGUGGGUAGCAAACAGGAUUAGAUACCCUGGUAGUCCACGCCCUAAACGAUGUCAACUGGUUGUUGGGAGGGUAAAACCUUUUAGUACCGGAGCUAACGCGUGAAGUUGACCGCCUGGGGAGUACGGCCGCAAGGUUA
rnacentral:rRNA from 1 species